CCCCUCACGGGGCCGCUGGGCUCACGGACCCUUCCCCAGCCAACGGUUCGGGCGCGCCCGCGCGCCCCGGGAACCCGUGUGCUGCACGCUCCAGCCCCGCCCACCUGGCCCUCCCCAAUCUCCCUCACAGCCCCCCCAAUCCCCCUUUGGCCCUCUCCCCCCGCCAUGACCCGAGACCGACCCCCCGCGGCUGCCCCCUAGCGGCCACAGACCCCCCCUCCCUGCCCAGUCAGCGUUCCUGUCAAUCGUGCCCCUAGCCCCGCCCCCACCUUCGCACCCUGCAUCGCCCCGCUCUGCCCCCCUCCCCUCAGUGUCUCCGCCCCAGCUGCUUGCACAGCCCCACCCACCUUGAGCCGCCUCGCACGCCUGCCCGCACAGCCCCCGUGCCAGGUUCCACAGACACCCGCCCCUGAGUAACGCACCCCCCCCCCAUUCUGCGUGCUCCACCGCCUCCUCUUGCUAACGUCCUUUUACCUGAGAAACCUGCCUUUCACAGCAGCUUUCCUGCCCCUGGGGUGCUGUGAUGCCCCUGCCUUCAAGACCAGGCCUGAUUCCAACAGGCUGAUUGGGCCUUAGCUCUCCUUGCUACUGUAUUAUGAUAUCAGAGAUGCUGGUCUUGAAACUGGCAUUAGAGAAUUCAUGUGACAGUAGAUAAGGAAGUUGAGAGAUGGAUGGUGCCCACCUCAUUCAUUAUUACAGUAGCAUCAAGAGGCUCCAGCUGAGAUCAAGCUCUUUUAUAUUAGGCACAGUACAAACAGUGUGACAGUCUCUAUCCCAAACAGAUUGUAAUAUAUUCCUAUUUUGAGACCUGUUGUAUAGUACUUUUUAAUCAACAUUAUACAGAGAAGAUAUGCAUCCGACUGUUUACAGUGGGGGAGGGGAGUAGACAAGUGCUGAGAUUUAACCUAUGAGAUAAGAAAAAAAAAACUGCUUUCAGGGGGAGAGGAGGAGGAGAACAGAAUCAUUAGAAGAAUGAAGGUGAUUAACUAACUAGAAUAUGAAAGGCAGAACCACAGGAUAUUCAAGCUCCACAACUAAAACUCUUGCAAAAAAGGACAUAACACCAAUGGCAUCUUCUGUUUCUCCUGAAGAUUUCAUACAGAGCACACCCCAGCUAAUCCUCAUCUUGGGCAUCUUGUGUUUUGGAUUAGGUCAAAGACUCUGGUGCAGGUUUUCCAGACAGCCUGCUCUUCCCCUACAUUAACACAAGGGAGGAUCUUCAACUGUUGCUGUUAUGUUCUCAACUGCCCCUGUUCAAGUUGGGUUCUCAAGUGCAGACUCUUCACAGAAGGCGAGUUUCCCUGUUGUACAUAGGACUCCAUGAUGGCACCCCUGUUCUCUCUCUCACACACACACAC